rnacentral:rRNA from 1 species
UACGUAGGGUGCAAGCGUUAAUCGGAAUUACUGGGCGUAAAGCGUGCGCAGGCGGCUUUGCAAGACAGAUGUGAAAUCCCCGGGCUUAACCUGGGAACUGCAUUUGUGACUGCAUGGCUAGAGUGCGGCAGAGGGGGAUGGAAUUCCGCGUGUAGCAGUGAAAUGCGUAGAUAUGCGGAGGAACACCGAUGGCGAAGGCAGUCCCCUGGGCCUGCACUGACGCUCAUGCACGAAAGCGUGGGGAGCAAACAGG